ACGGAAGGCAGCAGUGGGGAAUAUUGCGCAAUGGGGGGAACCCUGACGCAGCAACGCCGCGUGAAGGAAGAAGGCUUUCGGGUCGUAAACUUUUGUCUGGAGGGACGAUAAUGACGGUACCUCCGGAGGAAGCCACGGCUAACUACGUGCCAGCAGCCGCGGUAAUACGUAGGUGGCGAGCGUUGUCCGGAAUUACUGGGUGUAAAGGGCGCGUAGACGGGCAUGUAAGUCAGAUGUGAAAUACCGGAGCUUAACUCCGGAGCUGCAUUUGAAACUGCAAGUCUUGAGUGCAGGAGAGGGAAGCGGAAUUCCUAGUGUAGCGGUGAAAUGCGUAGAUAUUAGGAGGAACACCAGUGGCGAAGGCGGCUUUCUGGACUGUAACUGACGUUGAGGCGCGAAAGCGUGGGUAGCAAACAGGAUUAGAUACCCUGGUA
rnacentral:rRNA from 1 species